rnacentral:rRNA from 1 species
UACGGAGGAUCCGAGCGUUAUCCGGAUUUAUUGGGUUUAAAGGGUGCGUAGGCGGCCUAUUAAGUCAGGGGUGAAAGACGGUAGCUUAACUAUCGCAGUGCCUUUGAUACUGAUAGGCUUGAAUGUACUUGAGGUAGGCGGAAUGUGACAAGUAGCGGUGAAAUGCAUAGAUAUGUCGCAGAACACCAAUUGCGAAGGCAGCUUACUAAAGUAUGAUUGACGCUGAGGCACGAAAGCGUGGGGAUCAAACAGG